CUUUUUUAGAGGUUUAUUAAAGGUUAAAGAUUAAAGAAUAUACAAGUAAGAAACAUGUGCCUAGUCCAGAGGCCUAGACAAAAUAACCUCACAUCAUGCAAGAGACGUGCCUGCUCCAAAACGGAAGUCCAAACAGAGCCAACAGCCCUCAAAAGCCUUUGAAUCAACUUAAAUAUCUUCUCGAUCUCGGCCCAGGGAUGAAAAAAACUGGAGAAUAUAGUCAAUGGACAACCAUCAGUCAUAUAUGGAAACUCAUAGAAAACAGAAGAGGUACUUCUGGACUAGAGAAGUGCAGACGUCCCAUUUCUUUUAAAUGA
rnacentral:lncRNA from 1 species